GACGAACGCUGGCGGCGUGCCUAAUGCAUGCAAGUCGCACGCGCCACCUUCGGGUGGUGAGUGGCGCACGGCUGAGGAUCACGUGGGAACAUGCCUCCUUGUGGGGGACAACAGCGCGAA
rnacentral:rRNA from 1 species